rnacentral:rRNA from 1 species
ACCUUCGGUGCCCGAGUUGUAAUUUGUAGAAGGUAACUUUGGGGCUGGUCCUUGUCUAUGUUCCUUGGAACAGGACGUCAUAGAGGGUGAGAAUCCCGUGUGGCGAGGAUCCCAGUUCUAUGUAAAGUGCUUUCGAAGAGUCGAGUUGUUUGGGAAUGCAGCUCUAAGUGGGUGGUAAAUUCCAUCUAAAGCUAAAUAUUGGCGAGAGACCGAUAGCGAACAAGUACAGUGAUGGAAAGAUGAAAAGAACUUUGAAAAGAGAGUGAAAAAGUACGUGAAAUUGUUGAAAGGGAAGGGCAUUUGAUCAGACAUGGUGUUUUGCGCCCUCUGCUCCUCGUGGGUGGGGGAAUCUCGCAGCUCACUGGGCCAGCAUCAGUUUUGGCGGUAGGAUAAAUCUGCAGGAAUGUAGCUUGCUUCGGCAAGUGUUAUAGCCUGUUGAAAUACUGCCAGCCGGGACUGAGGACUGCGACUUUUAGUCAAGGAUGCUGGCAUAAUGGUUAUAUGCCGC